AGAAGUCUCCCUUGAUAAAGUUCAACAAUGGCGGAUAAACAAUGUGGGAUGCUGUCUUGUCAACAACAGUGAAAUUUGACACCUGUAUACCCGUAUUUCUACCAAUUGUCUCAGUCUUCUUUGUUGUGUACAUCAGACAGGUGCCCCUACAGAUUCACAAAGUUCCAAUGUUGAAUGUCCAUGACCCUGGUUGAUCCGCGACAGGAAAAGGAAUAAAGUUGGCAGGAAUUUCCGCACUGUCUUUGGUAGCAGCUGAUGAUGGAACUGACAGCAGUUGACAUGGCCUGUUUCUUCAAAGAUGCACCAGAAGCAGCAGCACUAUCUCCAUCACUGGUGAAAUGGGAAAUGACAAGUGGACGGUCAUCACUUUGCAGCUCAACGAUGCAUUCCGCAGCCCAUCUCUUUUCAUCUUCUAUGGUGAUCUCAGGAGGAAUG